CCCUUAGAUGCUCUGGGCCGCACGCGCGCUACACUGGUCGAUGCAACGAGUUUCUUUCCUUGGCCGACAGGCCUGGGCAAUCUUUGAACAUCGAUCGUGAUCGGGAUAGAUUCUUGUAAUUUUUGAUCUUAAACGAGGAAUUCCUAGUAAACGCAAGUCAUCAGCUUGCAUUGAUUACGUCCCUGCCCUUUGUACACACCGCCCGUCGCACCUACCGAUUGAAUGGUCCGGUGAAAUCUCCGGACUGGCGUGAGUCGGAGCAAUCUGACAAACGCCGGAAAGUUGAUUAAACCUUACCAUUUAGAGGGAGGUGAAGUCGUAACA
rnacentral:rRNA from 1 species